rnacentral:rRNA from 1 species
CUUUUGUUUUAGGAUGAUUCACUUGGUAAGUUUAGCCGUCCUUAUACAAAUAAGAGUGAGUUUGAUAAAAAUUUUGUAAAGAUUAGAAUUAUGAUAACUUAUGAGGUCGUAGGGUUAAAUAUACAUGGAUUGAAUGUAAUCUAUUCGAUAGAAAGAGUUGUGCCAGCACUAGCGGUUAGACAUCCGUCGGAUAUCAAGAAAAUAAAUUCGGUUCACAUUCAUUUACUAAAUUUAUUUUUAUAUUCGGUAAAAUGAUUAUUAAAUAAAGAGAGUAGGUUAGAUAGUGGGAAUUAGUUUAAGCAUGGGGUAGAGACCAGGAUUAGAUACCCUGUUAUUCUUUAGAAUAGGAAUAUAGUGAGCAGAUUAAGUGUGGAAAAGUAAAAAACAUGGCGGUUUUCUAUCAUAUUAGAGAAACAUGUGCUGAAAACGAAUUUGCACGAAGAAUCAUUCUUUUUCUUGAAACCCUAUGUUGGGUAAACUUCAUUUUGCAUACCGCUGUCUGAAAGACUUUUCUAUAGAAAAUGUCUCAUAUCACUAGGAAAUUUUUAAUUUGUUGAAAUAAGGCAAGUAAAGGUGUAGAUUAUGAAGAAGAAAGCAUGUGUCUCAGUUUGAUUAGUGGAAAGAAUAAGUGAAACUUUUCUUGAAAAAGAAUUUAACAGUAAAGUGAGUUUAUUAAACUUGUUUGAAUAGGAAAUGGAAAGUGUACAAAUUGCCCGUCACUCCGUAAGUGGAGAAGUCGUAACAUAGUUGGACUACUGGAAAGUGGUCCAGGAUGAGG